AACGAACGCUGGCGGCAGGCCUAACACAUGCAAGUCGAGCGAGGACUUCGGUUCUAGCGGCGGACGGGCGAGUAACGCGUGGGAAUGUGCCCUUCUCUACGGAAUAGCCCUGGGAAACUGGGAGUAAUACCGUAUACGCCCUAUUGGGGAAAGAUUUAUCGGAGAAGGAUCAGCCCGCGUUGGAUUAGGUAGUUGGUGGGGUAAUGGCCUACCAAGCCGACGAUCCAUAGCUGGUUUGAGAGGAUGAUCAGCCACACUGGGACUGAGACACGGCCCAGACUCCUACGGGAGGCAGCAGUGGGGAAUCUUAGACAAUGGGGGCAACCCUGAUCUAGCCAUGCCGCGUGAGUGAUGAAGGCCUUAGGGUUGUAAAGCUCUUUCAGCUGGGAAGAUAAUGACGGUACCAGCAGAAGAAGCCCCGGCUAACUCCGUG
rnacentral:rRNA from 1 species